GCGGUGUGUGUGCCCCUAGCGGCUCUCCCUAGCUUUUCUGGAAAGAAAAUAACACUAGAUGCUCCAAUGGCCACAGUACACUCUUUUGCCUUCUCCUCCUCUUCUUCUCCUACAUAUCUUGCAAUCCACACUCUCUUCUAACAAUUUUGUUCAAACCCUACAUAUUAAACUAUCCAUUUAAUGGAAUCCCUUCACAUCAGUAUCUUUGCUGUUCUUUCUUGGAUCCCUUUAGCGUUCUUACCGUAAACAGAGCCACCUCUCAGCUCCCAAAUUGAUGCAGAAAAUCGUUCUAUUCUGAUAUUGAAGAAGAAGAAGAAGAAGGAGAAAAGUAUUUGUUUUUAGCCAUGGAAGAGAGGCAUGUGCUGUUUGAAAAGUAUGAGAUGGGGCGGCUUUUGGGGAAGGGGACUUUUGCGAAGGUCUACUAUGGCAAAAACAUGGCAACUGGAGAAAGCGUA
rnacentral:misc_RNA from 1 species